UGGAGGCAGCAGUGGGGAAUAUUGGGCAAUGGGCGAAAGCCUGACCCAGCCACGCCGCGUGAGUGAUGAAGGCCUUCGGGUCGUAAAGCUCUGUGGGGAGGGACGAAACAGGUGCUGGCUAAUAUCCAGCGCCCCUGACGGUACCUCCUUAGCAAGCACCGGCUAACUCCGUGCCAGCAGCCGCGGUAAUACGGAGGGUGCAAACGUUGCUCGGAAUCAUUGGGCGUAAAGCGCACGUAGGCGGUCUGCUAUGUCGGGUGUGAAAUCCCUCGGCUUAACCGAGGAAGUGCAUUCGAAACUGGCAGACUUGAAUACUCAAGAGGGUCUCGGAAUUCCCGGUGUAGAGGUGAAAUUCGUAGAUAUCGGGAGGAACACCAGUGGCGAAGGCGGAGACCUGGGGAGAUAUUGACGCUGAGGUGCGAAAGCGUGGGGAGCAAACAGGAUUAGAUACCCGAGUAGUCG
rnacentral:rRNA from 1 species